UGGAUGCUCCCGUUCUGCUGAAUGCUGCUGGAGGAAGUCACACACCCAGUCUGACUUCCUCCACUACAAAUUCGUGUUGCGUUCAUACAGCGCAGCCCUCGCUAAACAGUCAUACUUUUCCUCCCUCAUUAGCUCAUGCUCCCGCAAUCCCAGGCGUCUUUUUAAUACCUUUAACGCCCUUCUUUGCCCUGCUGUGACCACCCCCAAACUAACCUUACAGCCGAUAGCUUUGCAUGUUACAGCUAAGGAAAGCAUUCUCACCACCUUGCCCCUCUAUUUCUCAACCACACCUAGGUCAUGCCUUUCCUACCCUUCAGACUUUCUCCCAUGCUACUGAACAAGAGGCGGCUGUGCUUCUCCUUUCUUCUCGACCCACCCCUUGCCCGCUUGAUCCUGUCCCGUCUCACCUUAUCAGAUCUAUCUUGUCUUGCAAACGUAUUACCUCAUUUUGAUUCCAAUACCACCUGUAUGCUGAUGACACUCAGAUAUACCUCUCCUCCCCGGACCUCUCACCUGCCGUCCUGCAACGUGUCACUGCUAGCAUUUCUUCCAUCUCUGAUUGGAUGUCCUCCUGCUUGAACUCCUUGUCUUUCCUCCUCCUAAUAUUGAUUCCCCCUCUUUCGCUCUCCCUUCAAGUACCCACAUCAGUCCAUCCUUGCAAACGCGCUGUCUUGGCGUUAUACAUGUUUUUGGCCUCACAUCCAGUCUGUUACCAAAUCCUGUAGAUUCCACCUUAAAAACAUAGCCCACAUCCACCCCUUUCUUACACAAGAUGCUACUAAGUCCAUGCUCUAGUAAUCUCUUGCAUGAAUUAUUGUAACUCUCUCCUAAUAGGUCUUCCCACACUUCAUAUUGCCCCGCUACAGUCUUUAAUGAAUGCUGCAACUAGACUGAUUUUUCUCUCCUGUCGCUCCUCACACACCUCACCCCUCUGUCAGUCCUUACAUUGGCUUCCUGUAUCUUAUAGGAGUCAAUUCAAGGUACUAAUCCACACCUAUAAAGCACUGACCAAUUCUAACCCCUACAAUAUUUCUUCACUGAUCCACAAGUAUGCCCUUUCUCGGUGUCUCCGCUCUGCCCAUGACCACCUGUCUGCUGUUUGCACCUGUACAGCCAACUCAUGCUAGCAGGACUUCUCCGGGUGGCUCAUUUCAUUUGGAAUAGCCUGCCUACGACCGUCAAACUCUCCCCUAGUCUUUAAUCAUUUAAAAAGUGUCUCAAAACCCAUCUCUUUAGGAAAGCUUAUGGCCUCCCAAAGUAACCUCUACCUCACAUACCUGUCUCUUGCUCUCUUCUAAAGGGCAGCACUCUACUCUCUCCUCCAGCUCUACUUUACUCCACCUUGUUUGAUUGCUACCUUCUGUCCUGUUGUGUUUUAUGUCCCACCUCUUAUAGACUGUAAGCUCGUUUGAGCAGGGUCCUCUUCAACCUAUUGUUCCUGUAAGGUUUUGUAAUUUUAUCAUUUAUUGUUAAAUCUCCCCUUUUGACAGCGCUACGGAAUAUGCUGGAGCUAUAUAAAUACCAGUAAUAAUAUGUCAAUCCAGAUAUCCAUACCCACUAUGAAUAUAAAUAGGAACAUAGAACAUGUAAUAUUCUAGAGUCAUAUUACUAGUAGCAGUCUUAACCUACACCUGGAAAGCUACCACAUGUCUGUUACUGAGGCUAGAAGCAGUAAUUCCCUUGAUGCUGUAUCUGAUCACCACCAGUAGCUCUGAUAGGCAGAGCAGGUGGAAUGAGGAUAGUGCUAGUAUUGAACAGGUAUAGUCAGACUCCUCGUCCCAUGGAUGUAUCCAACUGCCCGGUCUAGCACAUUUUGUUGGCUUUAAUGCAGGCUAACAAAAACACCUGCCCGAUUGCCCAGCUGACCAAUGUAGGGGAGCUUGUUUUCCAUGAAAGAAGGCGAGUCAAGCAGCUGAUACAGGCCAUGGCUCCACAAGGUGUCAUUCCUUCACCUGGAUCAUACUCCCAUCACCAUACCGUUCCAGUGUGGUAGUAUAGAAGGUGAAGUUGGCUAAGGCUGCAGGUAUGUCAGUGGACUUUACCACAGAUUUAGGGAGAGCUCCUACAGGCCAACAUGUCUCCCUCUCCUUGAUGGACAGUGGUGGCAUCCCACAGUGCCUGGAUAUGGUGGUGGUAGUAAUAGGUGGUAGGUCCAACCUUAGCAGCAUACUAUAGGAUAGUAGCUUUUGAUCUCGCUUGCUACAUGCAGAAUUGAUGGAGUUAAACCACACUUCAAAAAAAACAUCUUGCAAGCAAUCAGACGAAUGAUGGCAACUUGUUUAGGAGAGUAAUCGGGCACCAAUGUGCAUGCUGGUUUUAUGGUUACAAACAUAGCUGCUAACAUGGUCAAAGCUCUGUGAGAGUGUCCCUUUGUAGGUGUGUGCUGUUCCUACGUCUUGUAAGGAAAGCUGCAAUUCUCGAUGGCAUCACAAUAGUGACAACCAUUCUUGAGUGUUGCAGAAGAAUUCCCGUGCAUUUCCACCUUGGUGUGAAAGCAAGCCACAAGCAAGAGAAAACAGGGUUUCCCACACACCUUCUAUGAUAGAAUGUCUGCUCAAGGCGUACUUUAGACAUGCCAGAAAGAAUUUUGGAACAUCAGAGGGCAAUCCAUAGUCGGUCUUCUGACCAGUUCACUAAAGUGUGAGGAUUAUACAAUAAUAGGCCAGCUAAUUUUAGUCAAACCACUUAGGGAUGUCACAAUUUUUGGACAGGUUAUCUUGUUUUCAUCCAGUUAAUGAGCAAGAUGGAUCCCUUCUUCGAAAACAAGGAAGUUGUUCCUGGUGGCACACUCCAGACCAAUGUAGCAUCAGUAGCCCGGAGGUGUGCUGAAAAAUUUUUCAUAUGUGUUUAUAGGUAGAUCAUAUGGAUAUUGACUGACUGAAUAAAGCCUGUUUAGGGUACACCCUCAUAUCUAUGUCUUCAAAGGAGUCACCUCACCUUUGGUGCAAAAUUGCAUAUGCUUUAUAUUGUUACGAUAUCCUUUUUGAUUGCUUUACAUCCUGAGGUCACUCAUACUACAAACCGGAUGUGUAGGAAAGCUUUGUUCUUCUCACAGUGGAGGGGUUAAAUGGAUAAUUAAUUGCCUUGUCAUUUUUUUUCUUUGCUUUUGCUCAAAUAGCAGAAUAGUGGACUCAGGAAUAACCGUAAUACAUUUAAAAAUUUAGAUCUGGGGCUUUUAAGUGGCCCACAUGGGACUCUAACUCAGUCAGCCCCCCACACACACGCAUCGACGCCACUGUUCAUAAUUGGCAUUUUGAAAAUGUCUGAUAUUGUGUCCCCAAAUCAUUUUACUGAAUUGUUUGCAUGAAUGAAAUUUAGCCCAAAACAAAACCGCUUAUGAACACAUUUUGGAUUUUCCAAUACUAAAAACUAUUUUUGGUCGAAUUGCUUCGAACUAACCAAAUUUUUAUGCUGUGCACAAGUCUAUUAUUUCAAGAUGUGAUUACGUUUCCUGUAGUUUGACAUGGAAUUAGGUAUAGUGCACGGUCAUAGUGGUACUGUAACCUCUGCUCACAGAGAGUUAACACUUGCUAGUGUACAUAUAGCUGGCAAAUCUGACAAUGUUUUGCUUUCAGGCAGUAUAUUGUAUCUAUGUGUUACGUAAAUCUUUUUCCCUCCUUGAUCUUCUAGUGUUUUUCUGUGCCAUGGCAUUUCUGGGAAGCUCCCACCCUACCUGAGUAGAAUGCUCUCCCCAGUUGUUCCCACCUCCUAUAACCUCCGAUCUACUACUAGCAUGAUAUUUAGCAUAUCGCAAUACAAAAAUAAAGUGGCUCGAUACUCAUUCUCCUACAGAGCACCGCAAUUAUGGAAUAACCUCAGGGACACAGUCAAAUCUUCAUUCACUCUAAACUCUUUUAAGAGGUCUAUGGCAAUAUACCUCAGCACAGAAUGCACCUGUCAUGGUUGAAUAUAUUUAUUACCUGUUAUGUAUUACAUUUUUUAUAUGUGUGUAUGUAUAUAUGUAUAUUGUAUUUUUGUAAUAUUGUAUCCUAUUGUAACAAUUCAAUGUUUUGUGGACUUAAAAAUGAGAGAAAUCUCAAUGUAUCCAUCCUGGUAAAAUAUUUUAUGAAUAAAU
rnacentral:lncRNA from 1 species